UAUGUCACCCGUUACGCAAGAAUAUAAGUUCAUUCAGUGAAAAAAAAUAAAAAUAAAUAAUAAUAAAAAUAUCUAUAUGCAAAUGCGCGAUUCUAAUAACGUGUUCGAAUCGAGGUUCAUUUUAUAUUCAAGUCGUAUCGCAGAAAUAAGGUAUGCGUUUCGAAAUAUUCAAACGGCCUGAACUAGGUUUAAACCGACCGAAUA